rnacentral:misc_RNA from 1 species
GAUGAAGAACGUAGCGAAAUGCGAUAAGUAAUGUGAAUUGCAGAAUUCAGUGAAUCAUCGAAUCUUUGAACGCACAUUGCGCCCCCUGGUAUUCCGGGGGGCAUGCCUGUUCGAGCGUCAUUUCACCACUCAAGCCUCGCUUGGUAUUGGGCAACGCGGUCCGCCGCGUGCCUCAAAUCGACCGGCUGGGUCUUCUGUCCCCUAAGCGUUGUGGAAACUAUUCGCUAAAGGGUGUUCGGGAGGCUACGCCGUAAAACAACCCCAUUUCUAAGGUUGACCUCGGAUUAGGUAGGGAUACCCGCUGAACUUAAGCAUAUCAAUAAGCGGAGGA